rnacentral:rRNA from 1 species
GAUGAACGCUGGCGGCGUGCUUAACACAUGCAAGUCGAACGGAAAGGCCUCAGCUUGCUGGGGUACUCGAGUGGCGAACGGGUGAGUAACCCGUGGGUGAUCUGCCGUGCACGUUGGGAUAAGCCAGGGAAACUGGGUCUAAUACCGAAUAUGCCCACUUCUUGGAUGUUGUGGAGGAAAGCUUUUGCGGUGUGGGAUGAGCCUGCGGCCUAUCAGCUUGUUGGUGGGGUAAUGGCCUAGCAAGGCGGCGACGGGUAUCCGGCCUGAGAGGGGGUACGGACACAGUGGGACUGAGAAACGGCCCAGACUCCUACGGGAGGCAGCAGUGGGGAAUAUUGCACAAUGGGCGCAAGCCUGAUGCAGCGACGCCGCGUGGGGGAUGAAGGCCUUCGGGUUGUAAACUCCUUUCGCUAUCGACGAAGCCACUUGUGGUGACGGUAGGUAGAUAAGAAGCACCGGCUAACUACGUGCCAGCCGCCGCCGUAA